CAGCUGAUGCAGCAUGCCGCGUGUAUGAAGAAGGCCUUCGGGUUGUAAAGUACUUUCAGCGGGGAGGAAGGGAGUAAAGUUAAUACCUUUGCUCAUUGACGUUACCCGCAGAAGAAGCACCGGCUAACUCCGUGCCAGCAGCCGCGGUAAUACGGAGGGUGCAAGCGUUAAUCGGAAUUACUGGGCGUAAAGCGCACGCAGGCGGUUUGUUAAGUCAGAUGUGAAAUCCCCGGGCUCAACCUGGGAACUGCAUCUGAUACUGGCAAGCUUGAGUCUCGUAGAGGGGGGUAGAAUUCCAGGUGUAGCGGUGAAAUGCGUAGAGAUCUGGAGGAAUACCGGUGGCGAAGGCGGCCCCCUGGACGAAGACUGACGCUCAGGUGCGAAAGCGUGGGGAGCAAA
rnacentral:rRNA from 1 species